GAUCAUGAUGCGUGUGAUUGAGUUUCACUGCAUUGAAAUACAACAAGCUGAAUUCUUAUACUUGCGGCUUGACCUGUUGUCGUAACUUGAAAACCAAUGGGGGAUCGCAAGACAAGGAAAGGAGCUUACCAUAAACGUUGGCUUGCCCAACACAAGUGCAUUUUGACCUCAAAUCAAGUAGGACUACCCGCUGAACUUAA
rnacentral:misc_RNA from 1 species